rnacentral:rRNA from 1 species
UGGGGCUACACACACGCUACAAUGGGCCAAACACAAUAGGUUGCUAAGCCGCGAGGUGGAGCCAAUCCUCAAAGUUGGUCUCAGUUCAGAUUGCAGGCUGCAACCCGCCUGCAUGAAGAUGGAGUUGCUAGUAACCGCAGGUCAGCUAUACUGCGGUGAAUACGUUCCCGGGGCUU